UUGGUUUGUCUAAAAUUAAACUCGUCCAACUUUAACUAAGUUUAUAAAAAAAUAUAACAAUAUUUGUAAUACCAAAUAUAUGCACUAUCAAAAUAUAUUCCAUGGUGGAUUCAAUGAAACAAAUUUGGUACUGUAGAUGUUGUAUUUUUCUAUAAACUUGGUCAAAGUUAAACAAGUUUGACUUAGGACAAACCAAA
rnacentral:pre_miRNA from 1 species